CACCCUCUGCCAGCCAUUGGAACUAGCAAAGCCGAACAAGUUGCGGCCGCCGAGCAGCCGGCGCUCCCCGCCUCCUCAUCCUCUCCUCCUUCUCCUUCUUCUCCUUGCCUGGCCGCCGACGUCGCCGCCACCCCGAGGCCUCGCGACCGCCGAGCCCGCAGCCCACGCCACGGCCGACAUGAGCUUCUUGUUUGGUAGUCGCUCCUCUAAAACGUUUAAACCAAAGAAGAACAUACCAGAGGGUUCUCACCAGUAUGAGCUCUUAAAGCAUGCAGAGGCCACACUGGGCAGUGGAAACCUCCGGAUGGCUGUCAUGCUUCCUGAGGGGGAAGAUCUAAAUGAGUGGGUUGCAGUGAACACUGUAGAUUUCUUCAAUCAGAUCAACAUGCUUUAUGGAACAAUUACAGAUUUUUGUACAGAAGAAAGUUGUCCAGUGAUGUCAGCUGGCCCAAAAUAUGAGUAUCAUUGGGCAGAUGGAACAAACAUAAAGAAGCCUAUUAAGUGCUCUGCACCAAAGUACAUUGAUUACCUGAUGACUUGGGUUCAGGACCAGUUGGAUGAUGAGACAUUAUUUCCAUCAAAAAUUGAGGGGGUUGUUUAUCUAUUUACUAGGUGUCCCGUUUCCGAAGAAUUUCAUGUCUGUGGCAAAAACUAUACUCAAACGCCUCUUUAGGGUUUAUGCUCACAUUUAUCAUCAGCAUUUUGACCCUGUGAUCCAGCUGCAGGAGGAAGCACAUCUCAAUACAUCUUUCAAGCACUUUAUUUUUUUUGUCCAGGAAUUCAACCUUAUUGACAGAAGAGAACUUGCACCACUCCAGGAACUGAUCGAAAAACUCACCUCAAAGGACAGAUAAAAGAAUGCAGAUGUGUGCAAAUUAUUCCUCAAAUGAAGCUGUGUGGAGUGCAUUUGGAUUUUGUUUUAUUUUAUUUUUAUCUUGGUUGUUUUUAUGUUAGGUUUGGGGGGCUUGUUUGGGUUCCUUUUUCUUUAUUCUGAAUAAAUGAAACCGUAUACUAUGGCUAGAGGAAGGCAAGAACCAUUCUCUAUUCAGUUGAUAGGGGUAAAUUUUGUCUUAGUGGCAUACAGUAUUUUUUCUAACUUGGGGAAUUUUUGAUAAUACUAUAUGUUGAAAGAAAUGCUUAUUGAUUGGCCUGCCGAUGGAUGGGGGUUCUCCGUUGUGUAAAUUGUGGUUGAUUUUUGAA